rnacentral:lncRNA from 1 species
CAAUUUGUCACUCUGAUUUCAUUUGCAGAUGGCACUCUCCCUUUCGUGUCAGCAGAGAAACUGAAGACGGAGGUGGAUAACACAGCCAAAUGCAGCCAUUGACUUGUUUCCCUUGUUUUUCGAUGAUACCUGGACUGAUGGGAUGGUGACUGGUCCACCAGUUUCAUGGACUCCUGCUCUGGUAAACCCUCAGAGUUGCUCAUCAAAAGAAUGCUGUUCCAAGUAGUCCUUAAUACAAGCAGGUUUUCACCUAACACUGCUCAGCACAGAGGCCCCUGGCAGGACACUAAUGAAGAUGCUCUGGGGGAAGACUUGGGCUUCUCCAAGGAUUGCUCUGACACAUAG